rnacentral:rRNA from 1 species
ACUCCUGCGGGAGGCAGCAGUGGGGAAUUUUGGACAAUGGGCGAAAGCCUGAUCCAGCAAUGCCGCGUGAGUGAAGAAGGCCUUCGGGUUGUAAAGCUCUUUUGUCAGGGAAGAAACGGUGAGAGCUAAUAUCUUUUGCUAAUGACGGUACCUGAAGAAUAAGCACCGGCUAACUACGUGCCAGCAGCCGCGGUAAUACGUAGGGUGCAAGCGUUAAUCGGAAUUACUGGGCGUAAAGCGUGCGCAGGCGGUUUUGUAAGUCUGAUGUGAAAUCCCCGGGCUCAACCUGGGAAUUGCAUUGGAGACUGCAAGGCUAGAAUCUGGCAGAGGGGGGUAGAAUUCCACGUGUAGCAGUGAAAUGCGUAGAUAUGUGGAGGAACACCGAUGGCGAAGGCAGCCCCCUGGGUCAAGAUUGACGCUCAUGCACGAAAGCGUGGGGAGCAAACAGGAUUAGAUACCCCUGUAGUCCCAUGA